CGGAGACGCUCCUAGUGGCUACGUCAAUUAAAGACGGUUAAUGAAAAUGUGAAAGGGCAAAAGAUAUAUAUACUAUGUUUGAUAUAUUUAACCUAAGAAAAAAUCAUUUUUAGGUUAAAGGAAAUACAAAAAGACAGAUUUGGUCGUACGUGUCUGCUUGUCUCCAUAGACCAUAGGGUUUGACCUUUCACAAAAGUAAAACGCCAGCCGUGGGGGGAGUCACAUAUCGAACCAUUGUCCUACUUCUACAUCUCAUUUUAUAGCUUUUUUUGUUUUGUUUUUUGACUUACGUAAUGUUAAUCCUUCGUUUGUAUUUAACCAUUUCAAAGCCACGUUACUUAGCAGUUAACACGAGUGUUCUAUAGGAUUUGUCGGGUUUCCG